CAGGCGCGGAAACUUGGCAAUGCGAGAAAUCGUGACCAGGGAACUCCAAGUGCGUAGGGUAAGACCUACGCUUUUCUUGACUCUUCAAAGGUCUUGGAAUAAGGGGUGGGUAAGGACGGUGCCAGCCGCCGCGGUAAUACCGGCGCCUCAAGUGGUAGUCGCUUUUAUUGGGCCUAAAACGUCCGUAGCCGGUCUGGUGCAUUCGUGGGUAAAUCAACCCGCUCAACGGGUUGAAUUCUGCGAGCACGGCCAGACUUGGGACCGGGAGAGGUGUGGGGUACUCUCAGGGUAGGGGUAAAAUCCUGUCAUCCUGAGAGGACCACCUGUUGCGAAGGCGCCACACUAGAACGGAUCCGACGGUCAGGGACGAAACCUAGGGGCACGAACCGGAUUAGAUACCCGGGUAGUCCUAGGUGUAAACGCUGUGGACUUGAUGUUGGGGGCGCUCCGAGCGCUCUCAGUGUCGAAGCGAAGGUGAUAAGUCCACUGCCUGGGGAGUACGGUCGCAAGGCUGA
rnacentral:rRNA from 1 species